ensembl:lincRNA
GUAGGUUAGAGUUACUUGUUAUUGGUAAAUAGCCACGAUGCAGGCUAAGGACCAGAAGAAACACAGAAAGAAAAACAGUGGGCCCAAAGCUGAAAAGAAAAAGAAGUGGCAUCUGCGGGAUCUCCAGCUAGGAGACCAAGAAGAUGCCCGGAAGAGAAAUCCCAAAGCUUUUGCGGUUCGGUCUACUGUGCAGAUGGCUUGGUCCUUUCACUGGAUUCAGGCUUUGAAGACAAAGAAGCAUCAUAUUCCAGUGGUUGAUCGAACUCCACUAGAGCCCCCAGUAGUGGUGAUGGUGAUGGGGCCUCCAAAAGUUGGAAAGAGCACUUGGAUACAGUGCCUCAUCGCAAGUCCACCCAGCAGAAGUUGACCGAGAUCUGAGGCCCUGUGACGGUCGUGUCAGGCAGGAAUAAAGGAAAUAAAAAACCACAGUGAUGGCUCAAGAGACCAAUGUACCUCCAGAAGAAUCCAGUGGGUCCAGAAGGCCUUUGGAUGACGGUCAGAUGCUCCUUUGGGGCAGAGAUCAUAGCAGCAACCACCAGGUCUGGAGAAGUCCUUACAGUUCUCAUGGACAAAGCUUCUGAAGACAUCUUAGACAAGAUCUUGUCUCUGCUGGUUUUAUGAUCCUCUGCAGAUGGGUCCAUUCUAUUGUUCUCAGCCACCUUUCACUUCCUAUCAGUUCACUUCAGGUCUCUCAUGAUCUCAGGCAGCAAUAAUUGUUAUCACCUCAACCCAUUCAUAUGUGUUUAUCUCUUUGGGGAUGAGCGGACAACUUCCCUGUAGACUUAAUUCUACUGGAGAUGAGUGACUCCAUUUUAAGAUAUGAGGAUCACAAAUUAUUACCACAUAUCAUCAGGGCAGAGAACAGCUACCACCUGGGGCUGAAAGCAGAUAACUCCAUUUAUUCUGGAAAUAUUCUGUCUUGAUUAUGGUGCCGGUUACUGUGAGGGACUUCCUUUUCUCCACCUGUUUUUUACAAAGUUUGAGUCUGGACUGCUAACAUUCUACUGAUUUCCAGGUGAAGGGACUGACUACACCAUCCCAGCCUGUCAGAGAACUUGCCCCAGUACUUCCACUUUAAGAGUUUUCCACCUUAUCCAGAACUACGGUCCAUUAAUCCCCCCAUUUUCUCUCUCAGGAGAAUGAACAACACAUCUCACGUACAUACCCGCACACCUCUUCCCCCAAAUAACAAACACAAAAAUCCAAUCUGUCUCUUUCCACCUAAGCAAUUUUAGACAGUCACUUUCUAAUAAUUGCCUUAAGCUCCCUGACUUGCUGCUCGUUCUUUCUCUGGCAAAAUCUCAUCCCUGGAUGAGCCCCAUUUUGUGUUGGCUCAGUGACACCACUCAGCUGAACCAGAAGAACAUCAAAAAAUGGUCGCAGGUGUCAUCACAAAUUCAAAUUUCUUACACAACUAAUUGGCCCUAAAUUUUCCAAAAAUCAAUACGAGGUUUGUGUCUCCAACGACAUCAUUUUUUCUAUGUUCUUCUAACUUUUUGACCAAUCUUUUCCAUGUUCUUCCUUUAUUCAACUUCUCUCUUCUGAUAUCUUGACAAGUCAGUUAAGGAGAGAAGAUAUCCCAUUAGGUAGUAGCCGAUCAUCUUCCCAUCACCUAAGAAAAUAAUAUGCACAGAAUGCAUCACACCUACUCUAAAUACAUCACACCUACUCUAAAAUUGACCACAUAAUUGGCAAUAAAUCACUCCUCAGCAAAUGCAAAAGAACGGAAAUCAUAACAGUCUCU